GGGAAGGUCAUUUGAUGUUGGGUAUGUCGGAGGAUAGAUUGUGAGGGGUCCGCUAUUGGGAGUUUGCAUCUUGUUACUUGGAAGUAGAAGUGGUCCUAUAAGUAGAACGUCCUUUUGGCUGCCCUGUUUUCGGUAUCUUUGCUAGUAAAUGGGAGUGAACCGGGAUCUGGUCUUUUUUGAUACAUGAUAUGGGUUUCUGUGUUACUAAUUGGACGUGAUAGUUUUAAACCUUACUUUUUUGAAAGUCUUUUCGGCCUGAGCAAAGCCAUCUGCAAUUUAACUCAACAUAAAGUCCCUCACGUUACACAGAGCACACCGGUGGGAGAGCUCCCUUUGGCAGGUUCUGCUCUUUUUCGUUACAUGAUUGGGAAGUUUCAUUCUUGCUGAGUUGAAUAACUGCUCGAUUGUUUUGUUCUCCGGGUCCCCCGUAUCACAUUGCACCUGGGGAAUUGCCUUGUUUUUCUGUUCCUGCCCGUGCUUUGUUUGCUGAGGCGAGGUUGCUCUGGUUCAGUUGUGAUGAAGUAGGUAUUAUUUUUGUAGAAUCUAGUUUUUGGGUUAUAUGAUUUCCUGUUCAAAGCUGCUCUGUUUCUUUUCUGGUUAAUUUUGAACCCGUUAUUGUUCCAUUUCUGCUAUGGAAUGCUGCUGCUUAGUUAUGAUUACUACUUCUAAUGAA